rnacentral:misc_RNA from 1 species
GAACGCACAUUGCGCCCUUUGGUAUUCCUUAGGGCAUGCCUGUUCGAGCGUCAUUUAAACCUUCAAGCUCUGCUUGGUGUUGGGCAUGUCACGCCCCCCUCCGCGGGGGUGUGCGCCUCAAAUCUAUUGGCGGCCGGUACGUUGGCUUCGAGCGCAGCAGAAACGCGAACUCGGGGACUCCGGAUCGGCCCUCCACAAGCUAUUUUAUCAUUUUGACCUCGGAUCAGGUAGGGAUACCCGCUGAACUUAAG